rnacentral:rRNA from 1 species
UACAGAGGUCUCAAGCGUUGUUCGGAUUCAUUGGGCGUAAAGGGUGCGUAGGUGGCGCGCUAAGUCGGGUGUGAAAUUUCGGAGCUUAACUCCGAAACUGCAUUUGAUACUGGCGUGCUUGAGGACUGGAGAGGAGACUGGAAUUCAUGGUGUAGCAGUGAAAUGCGUAGAGAUCAUGAGGAAGACCAGUGGCGAAGGCGGGUCUCUGGACAGUUCCUGACACUGAGGCACGAAGGCCAGGGGAGCAAACGGG